rnacentral:rRNA from 1 species
UACGUAGGGUGCAAGCGUUAAUCGGAAUUACUGGGCGUAAAGCGUGCGCAGGCGGUUGUGCAAGACAGAUGUGAAAUCCCCGGGCUCAACCUGGGAAUUGCAUUUGUGACUGCACGGCUAGAGUGUGUCAGAGGGGGGGUAGAAUUCCACGUGUAGCAGUGAAAUGCGUAGAGAUGUGGAGGAAUACCGAUGGCGAAGGCAGCCCCCUGGGAUAACGACUGACGCUCAUGCACGAAAGCGUGGGGAGCAAACAGG